UGCAAGUCGAACGGGAUCUUUUGGACUCGUCUGAAAGUGAGAGUGGCGAACGGGUGAGUAUGGCGUUGGUGACCUGCCCCAGAGAGGGGGACAACCAGUGGAAACGCUGGCUAAUACCCCGGAUGUUAUUGUGUUUAGAAAGCAAUAACUAAAGCUCCGGCGCUCUGGGAGGGGCCUGCGUCCCAUCAGCUUGUUGGUAGGGUAAUGGCCUACCAAGGCUAAGACGGGUAGGGGGCGUGAGAGCGUGGCCCCCCACACUGGUACUGAAACACGGACCAGAUACCUACGGGUAGCAGCAGCAAGGAAUAUUGCCCAAUGGACGAAAGUCUGAGGCAGCAACGCCGCGUGGAGGAUGAAGGCCUUCGGGUUGUAAACUCCUUUUCUGGGGGAAGAGAAAGGACGGUACCCCAGGAAUAAGGCCCGGCUAACUACGUGCCAGCAGCCGCGGUAAAACGUAGGGGUCGAGCGUUAUCCGGAUUUACUGGGCGUAAAGCGCAUGUAGGCGGUUACUUAAGUCGGACGUGAAAGCUCCUGGCUCAACUAGGAGAUGCCGUUCGAAACUAGGUAACUCGAGGAUGGUAGGGGAGAGUGGAAUUCCCGGUGUAGUGGUGAAAUGCGUAGAUAUCGGGAGGAACACCAGUGGCGAAGGCGGCUCUCUGGACCAUUCCUGACGCUGAGAUGCGAAAGCUAGGG
rnacentral:rRNA from 1 species